AGAUUCUGGACGGAUCGUUUCUCCUUUGCUUUAUUGUGGAUGCCGAGGCACAGCUGUACAAAUUAAUGCGGGAUUGUGACGUGGACUUUAGGCAAAAUUUAAGAGCGUAUGACUCGCCAAAACUUGCUCUUGGGGGUUGUGUUGACGGUUUCGCGGCAGGAAGAUGGAAAAGGCCGCUUGUGCGGGGUGGAGCGUUUCGGCGCAAUUAAGAGACCGCCACCGCCCUCCGCGGAAAGGGCCGGAAACCCGAAACCCUAAUGGGAGAUAUCGAGUAAGGCCAUGCCACGUCCCUCUGCUUAUUCUCUUCUUCACCUUUGUCGCUGCAUGCAGCGGAGAACAAUAGCACAGUUGACGGAACCGCUGGCCGACCAGAUACCGAUAUGUGUUUCAUCCCCGGUAUUCAAACUUUAUUUCGUCUGGUCUAUCGCAUCAUCUCGGAUGCCGAAACAGAAAACUACUCCAGCAGAACUCUCACUAUUCUAACCCUAAGAUUCUUCUGGUUAUGGGAUGUACAAAUAAGAUUGUAAUUUUUGAAAUGAUGCUUCAGGUGAGACCCUCUUACAUAUAUAAUAGCUUGCUCACAACACCGACAAACCUUUUCACAAGACAAAUUUGUGCCAUCGUUUCUCUCCACAUUAGAUAGUUUUUGGCUUUGACUUAGGAUCAGAUCCCAUAAACUUCUCCAUAAUUAUGUAUCUAAUGAGCUAUGGUUGAGCUGUCAGUGAUAUUUUAUUCUAAUUUCCAAAAUGCAAGUGUGUUUUGAUUUGUGGCAUGGAAUCUCUAACAUAUUUGACUUUGCCGACUUCUUGGCUCAUAAGCUCAAUGAGCAUGUUUAUGAAGUACAAUGGAUAUAUAAUUCAUCUGCCUAA